rnacentral:rRNA from 1 species
CAGCAGCCACGGUAAUACGUAGGGUGCGAGCGUUAAUCGGAAUUACUGGGCGUAAAGCGCACGCAGGCGGUCUGUCAAGUCAGAUGUGAAAUCCCCGGGCUUAACCUGGGAACUGCAUUUGAAACUGGCAGGCUAGAGUCUUGUAGAGGGGGGUAGAAUUCCAGGUGUAGCGGUGAAAUGCGUAGAGAUCUGGAGGAAUACCGGUGGCGAAGGCGGCCCCCUGGACAAAGACUGACGCUCAGGUGCGAAAGCGUGGGGAGCAAACAGGAUUAGAUACCCCAGUAGUCCCUGUCUCUUAUAC